rnacentral:rRNA from 1 species
AAUCAACGCUGGCGGCGUGCCUCAGACAUGCAAGUCGAACGAUUAAAGCUCUCUUCGGAGAGUGUAUAGAGUGGCGCACGGGUGAGUAACACGUAAGUAAUCUACCCUCGAGUGGGGAAUAACGUCCGGAAACGGACGCUAAUACCGCAUAAUGCAGCGGCACCGCAAGGUGACAGUUGUUAAAGGAGAAAUUCGCUUGAGGAGGAGCUUGCGGCAGAUAGCUUGUUGGUAAGGUAACGGCUUACCAAGGCUACGAUCUGUAACCGGUCUUAGAGGACGGUCGGUCACACUGACACUGAAUAACGGGUCAGACUCCUAC